UAACGCGUGGAUAACCUGCCUCACACAGGGGGAUAACAGUUAGAAAUGACUGCUAAUACCGCAUAAGCGCACGGCAUCGCAUGAUGCAGUGUGAAAAACUCCGGUGGUGUGAGAUGGAUCCGCGUCUGAUUAGGUAGUUGGUGGGGUAACGGCCCACCAAGCCGACGAUCAGUAGCCGACUUGAGAGGGUGACCGGCCACAUUGGGACUGAGACACGGCCCAA
rnacentral:rRNA from 1 species